UAAUGAUGGUGAGGGCAAUUUCUGAGCAUACCCUUAAACUUUAACACGCUUGAUAAAGAUUUUCUUCUUCUUUCUGCUUAAAACUAAUCUCGCUACUCACAUG